GCCCCCGUUGUCCAAUGGCUAGGACACCGCCAACAAACCUAACAACAAACUACCGACCGGCGGAGAUCGGCGUUCAAAUCGUCGUGGGGGCG